rnacentral:rRNA from 1 species
AGUAACACGUGGAUAACCUACCUAUAAGACUGGGAUAACUUCGGUAAACCGGAGCUAAUACCGGAUAAUAUUUUGAACCGCAUGGUUCAAAAGUGAAAGACGGUCUUGCUGUCACUUAUAGAUGGAUCCGCGCUGCAUUAGCUAGUUGGUAAGGUAACGGCUUACCAAGGCAACGAUGCAUAGCCGACCUGAGAGGGUGAUCGGCCACACUGGAACUGAGACACGGUCCAG